AAAGACUUGACGGUAUUUCACAACAACCUAGAGGAGCCUGUCCAAUAACCGAUACCCCACGAUUAACCCUACCUGCCCUAGCCUUAACAGUCUAUAUACCGCCGUCGCCAGCUUACCUUAUGAAAGAAACAAAGUGAGCCCAAUAAUAACACAUUAAUACGACAGGUCGAGGUGUAACUAAUGAGUAGGCCAAAGAUGGGCUACAUUUUCUUAAACAGAAAAGCACGAAUCAACUAUGAAAUUAGAAACUGAAGGCGGAUUUAGCAGUAAGCUAACAACAAAAUACUUAGCUAAAAUAAUAGCAAUGAAAUGCGUACACACCGCCCGUCAUCCCUG
rnacentral:rRNA from 1 species